CCCCAUCUCUCUUCGAAAAACAUAGAACCCAUCUCAAUCACUUUUUCAAACCAUCUCAAUCCCUCUCACGAGUUCUUGUUGGUGUUGAGAAGAUUUCAACGCUUUCAAUCCGUAUUGUUUCACUAUUGUUGGGGUGUUCGUGAAUCGGAGAAGGAGAUGAUAGGAGAGUUGGAAAACUAAAGGUUGCUGCUCCAGUUGAUAAGAGUAGUAAAGGAAAGGCCAUUUUUCAUUGGUUUUGCUAGCAUCUCAUUGAUGGGUCAAUUUAGUUUUGUCAUGUUUUCUUCAAUUCAAUUGUGUUUGUGGGUUUUGUAGAUUGGAUUUAUUGAAGAUUUUGAAAGCAUGUUUAUGAAAUCUUGGACAGAAGACCAUUUGAGGCAAGAGCCUCUACUUCUCCUUUCAU